AUGAUUGGGAAUAGAGGAAAGUGCCACGGACUUCUAAUCCGCAGGUCGUAGGUUCGAAUCCUACCGGGCGUG
rnacentral:tRNA from 1 species